UUUGCCAUCUGAUUGGCAUGAAGGGCAAUGUAACUGAGGAGUCUGGGGACCAAAGUGAAUCCUAGUAAUGUCACUCACUUAAUAUGUGUGAUUUUUUAGACCAAUCACAUCAUUUGGCCAAGCCUCAGUUUCCUAGUCUGUCAAAUGGGAAUGAUGAUUUGACAUCUGGUGUGUCUCUCACUACUGUUGAGACAUUAUAUAAUGAGAGCAUAGCCCUUUAUAAAGACAGGGUUUCUGUCCUCUUUCUUACUUCAUUCUUUCCUUCUCUUCUUUCCUUCUAAUAGAAGGUAUAGAGAAGACAGCACAUUCCUACUGAGCUCUAUAUGGAGAGCUGCAGUCAUGGGGGACACUGUCUAGAUCUGGGGACCCUCCCAAGCUCUCAGAGCUUUGGAAGGAAGGUCCCUGCAGGGAAACUGUGUGUGUUUCUUCAACAGUGUAUCCUCAGUGCCUAGCACAUGGUAAGUGUUCCAUAAACAGCUGUUGAAGAGACGGAUGGAUAACUGAAUGAAUGGAUGCUUCCAUGGGCAAUGACACACUAAUCUGAAAAGCCCUGUAUCAAUGAAAGAAUCACUUAAUAGUUUAACUUUUCCCUCAUCCUUCAGAACACAGAUGGCAUGCCAUCUUCCCUUCAAAUCUCUUCCCAGUGCCCCACACAGAAGAGGCACACUUGGACACUGGUGUCUGAUGGACCCAAGUUCACAGCCUGUCUCUGGUCAUCAGGUAUCAUGACCUUGGGCAAGAAGCUUAACUCUCUGAGCCUCAGUUUCCCCUUCUGUCCCCCAGGGAAAAUGAGUCCUGCCCCUCCUAAGGGAGGUAUGAGAUGUAAGACCCCGAAGGACACAAAGGUUUGCCAGGAGCCUUCAGGUAGGAGGCAGAAAUCCUCAGAUCACUAUGUCAGCAUCCCCCAAUCACAGCUCUCCAACUUCAAGGAGGGUUGAGGGGUCUGAAGAAGGAGAGAGAGGCAACAGAGCCAGAAACCCUUCAGAAGAUGCCAAGAGCAAGGUUUGGACCCAUAGUCCACCACUUACUAACUUCAAGAGUGUUAUGAGCUACAAACUUCUCAGUCUCCGUUGACUCAUCUCAAAAAUGGAAGUAAAAUUAUUUACCAUGCAA